UACGUAGGGGGCUAGCGUUGUCCGGAUUUAUUGGGCGUAAAGAGCGUGUAGGCGGCCAGGUAGGUCCGGUGGUGAAAACUCGAGGCUUAACCUCGAGAUGUCAUCGGAAACCAUCUGGCUAGAGUCCGGAAGAGGAAAGUGGAAUUCCUGGUGUAGCGGUGAAAUGCGCAGAUAUCAGGAAGAACACCAAUGGCGAAAGCAGCUUCUGGGACGGUACUGACGCUGGAGACGCGAAAGCGUGGGGAGCGAACAGG
rnacentral:rRNA from 1 species